rnacentral:lncRNA from 1 species
UCUGCACACAUUUUUCUCAAGUCCGAGAUUUUCUUUACUUGGCUUUCGAUAAAGCUCUGUCCACCAAACCCAGGGUUGACCGACAUUAUCAAGACCAGAUCCACCUCUGAGUUCAGUAACAAAUAAUACUCAAAUGAGAAUAAUCUUACCAUCUCAUGCCAAAGCAACUGCAGUAUUAUGACAAAAAAAACUAACCAUCCAAGACAUAUUCUAUUGCACUCAAUGGGGUUCCAGGGUUUAGGACAACUCCAGCUUUAGCCCCUAGGCUUUUGAUCUAAACAUCAUCGUAGCAGCACAUUGUGUGGUUAUUGUAAGAGUACUCCAUCAAAUGGAAAAAAAUUAAAGCGGAAUCAAGAAAAUAUCAGUACUUGAUUAACGGUACGAUGCAAAUGGAUGGUCGAUUGCUGUUCACAGUGUACACUGAUUAUAUCCGCACCUGCUUUGAUGAAAUCCGGUACUCUCUGCUCGGGUUCCACUAUCAUCUAGAUAUAGAGAAUUUUUAAUCAGAAAUGUGCCUUGAAGCAUCAAGAAACCAUAUAUAGAGAAAUAAGAAAAGGAGCCAAGUCUUUACAAGAUGAACAUCCAACGGGAGAUCAGUCACAGGACGCAAAGCAUCAACCACGAGAGGUCCGAUUGUAAUGUUGGGAACAAAACGACCGUCCAUCACAUCAACAUGAAUCCAAUCACAACCUGCCAACUCUACUGCUUUAACCUGGAAGAAGCCGGAAACAAAAGGAGUGAAAUGCAGAAACAAAACACAAGAAGUCAUUGAAACAGAAAACCUAAGAGGAGAGCAACAAAAACCUGCUCGCCUAAUUUGGCGAAGUUAGCCGAGAGAAUUGAGGGAGAAACAAUGAUAUCACUUUUCGAAAACUUAUCAACCCGAGCUGAAGCCUUCACAAUUCCAUGAGUUCUCCUUCUGCAAAAGUAUACAUACCAAAGUGUCAAUUGAGCUCUCAAGAUCAAACAGGAACUGAACAUGUUUACUCAAGCAUACCCACAAACAGAAGAAACACACAAUGAUACAAACCAAAUAAUCUUCACUUAAACCACAAAAUUUCAGCAUACUUCAAUUCAACGAUGCCAAUCAAACCUAUCUGUGAGCAAUUGUAGUAACUACAACAAACUGUAUCUAGUGUCACACCGAUCAAAGUUCGAAAAUUAUAUUUGAAAACUAGUAAACAGUCUUCGCUAGGAUUACGAUUGCAACCAUUAAAUUCAAAGCCUCAAAGAGAAGGAAAAAGGAAGGAACUUUAGAUUCCGGGGACUCGGAAGAGCAGCUAAAAUGAUGAAUUACCUGGAGAAAGAAAACGAAGUGGGUUGGUAAAGAAGCGACCUUUCAGGUCUAAGACCAAACCCAUUGACCUGAGUUGAUGAACAGCACAAGGAAGCAGCUGAGCUCGACAUUAUCCAAAAUCAGAGAUUCAAGUUUCUCUCACAAGAAUCUUAGUGGAUUGUUAGGUAAAAUGAGAGAAAACCCCAAUCUUAUAUCUUGCUCUUCCUCUUCUUCCUUCGUUUCUCUCUACAC